GAUGAACGCUGGCGGCGUGCCUAAUACAUGCAAGUCGAGCGAACAGACGAGGAGCUUGCUCCUCUGACGUUAGCGGCGGACGGGUGAGUAACACGUGGAUAACCUACCUAUAAGACUGGGAUAACUUCGGGAAACCGGAGCUAAUACCGGAUAAUAUAUUGAACCGCAUGGUUCAAUAGUGAAAGACGGUUUUGCUGUCACUUAUAGAUGGAUCCGCGCCGCAUUAGCUAGUUGGUAAGGUAACGGCUUACCAAGGCAACGAUGCGUAGCCGACCUGAGAGGGUGGUCGGCCACACUGGAACUGAGACACGGUCCAGACUCCUGCGGGAGGCAGCAGUAGGGAAUCUUCCGCAAUGGGCGGAAGCCUGACGGAGCAACGCCGCGUGAGUGAUGAAGGUCUUCGGAUCGUAAAACUCUGUUAUUAGGGGAGAACAAAUGUGUAAGUAACUAUGCACGUCUUGACGGUACCUGAUCAGAAAGCCACGGCUAACUACGUG
rnacentral:rRNA from 1 species